CCCAUAUGGCUACAGUGUCUUUGUGCAGAAGCAAAGUUGCAACACAACUACAAUGCUGCACAGAAUCAGAAUAUGAUAUUCAGUGCUCCAAAACUACAACACUAGAAGUGACAACACUACCAUUUCUAGUGAACAACACUUCACUAGAAGUGAACAACAUUCAACAAUUGCAGGAAUCAAGACUCUAGACGCACAGCAUCACAAAUUCCCACACUGCAGGCUAAAGUUGCUGCAGUACAAUCCGUAACCAAACAGAAGGUGAGGUAAUGAAUUACUGAUAAGAAUGGACAAAUUCAACUGGCUUUGUGGGAUGACAUUAUUGCUAAAGUCCAACAAG
ensembl:lncRNA